rnacentral:tRNA from 2 species
GGGCUCGUAGCUCAGCCUGGGAGAGCACUACGCUGAAGACGUAGGUGAUUCGUAAGGUCUCGGCUUUACAACCUAAAUCCUGGGUUCAAAUCCCAGCGAGCCCA